AUUGAACGCUAGCGGGAUGCUUUACACCUGCAAGUCGAACGAGUGGCGGACGGGUGAGUAAUAUAUCGGAAAGUGCACAGUAGCGGGGGAUAACUACUCGAAAGAGUGGCUAAUACCGCAUAAUAUUGGGGCGGCCGAUAUAGGAGUAGAUAGUUGGUGGGGUAAAGGCGCACAAAGGCAACGACCCGUAGCUGGUUUGCGAGGACGACCAGCCACACGGGGACUGAGACACGGCCCAGACUCCUACGGGAGGCAGCAGUGGGGAAUUUGGGACAAGGGGGGAAACCCUGAUCCAGCCAUCCCGCGUGUAUGAGAAGGCCUUCGGGUUGUAAAGUACUUGUGGCGGAGAAGCGGUAUCUGCAGAAUAAGCACCGGCUAACUACGUGCCAGCAGCCGCGGUAAUUC
rnacentral:rRNA from 1 species